ACAGAGAUCAGGGCCCACUGAACACAGCCAGUCCCAAGUCUCCCAACUGAAUCCUCAGAGGCUCCAGGAAGAAGCAAGGAUGGAGAUUCCCCUGGGAGCUUCACUGAUGCUCCUGUGUGUGCAGCUACCCUGGUCAAACCAACAACCACAGGUGGAACAGAGCCCAGCUUUCCUGAAAGUCCAGGAAGGAGAGAGCUUCACACUCAACUGUAGUUAUACAGACCGCAAUUUCGACAGCUUCCAGUGGUUUAGACAGGAUCCUGGGGAAGGCCUCAGCAACCUGAUGCGAAUGCAAUCAUAUGAGAAGGAGAAGGUGAGCAGAAAAUUCACAGCCAGAGUUAACACGGAGGGCCUGCAUUUUUCCCUGCACGUGAGGGAUUCUCAGCUCCUGGACUCCGCCACGUUCCUGUGUGCAGCAAGCACACAGUGUGGCACCUGCACCUGCACCUGCACCUAA